UUUAGAUGAGUCAACACCACACAGGAAAUCAGCCGGUCGCCCAUACCUGGAUGGGUCUAACACAAGCUCGGCCUGCCACUUCAGCUUGGGACCCAGUUAAAGCAGAACUCCUCCCACAGAGGGAGGAGGCUCAGCCAUGGAGAUGGAAAUAAGAGCCAUGAGGACAUCCGUUACCCGCAUGGUGCAGCACA